rnacentral:siRNA from 1 species
GUCGUGAGACAGGUUAGUUU